rnacentral:rRNA from 1 species
CCGUAGCCCAAGAGAUCGGGAUAACACCUGGAAACAGAUGCUAAUACCGGAUAACACCAGAUGAUGCCUAUCAACUGUUUAAAAGAUGGUUCUGCUAUCACUCUUGGAUGGACCUGCGGUGCAUUAGCUAGUUGGUAGGGUAACGGCCUACCAAGGCGAUGAUGCAUAGCCGAGUUGAGAGACUGAUCGGCCACAUUGGGACUGAGACACGGCCCAAACUCCUACGGGAGGCAGCAGGC